rnacentral:rRNA from 1 species
AAAUAUAAGGGCGUAUGGAGGAUGCCUUGACACUAAAAGACGAUGAAGGA